AGGCCUAAGUGAAAGCAAAGGGCAGUCAAUAACUCAUCAGACAUAACAUAAAAUCAAACUAAUGUUCAAUCAAUUAGGUGCUUUUACAUGUGCCUACAUGUAUGAGAAACACAAUGAAGAUAGAAGGUGGCACAUUGUAAAUGUAAUGAAGAGGAGCAUUACUGAUGAAGUUAGAAAACAAGAGCCUAUGCUGAUAUUUGUGGAGCAUCGUUGCCAAUAGGCAUGUGCAAAGAUUUACUGUUUAUAGCACUGUGGUCUGUGAUGGGAUCUAGGAUGCUGCUUCCAGAGCCACUGCUCUGCACUUAUGGCAUUUGAACCUUGUGGUUUUUCCCUGGGGAAUGAGACCCUUGUGUGAUGCCAUCUGUGAGCCUCACAGAGACAGUGUGUGAAGAUCACUUUCAUUAUCUAGAGAUGAACAGUCUUAGAGGCCAAUCUCACAGCUCCUGGAUCUCGUGCAGCACUUGGGUGUGGACAGACAGGUCCUGAAAGCACAAAAAAGGCAUCUAUAAAGAAGAAACUUGGUUGCUUUAUAUUCAGAAAGGGGGGUUUGUCCCUCCAAUUUUAUUGCU